rnacentral:ncRNA from 1 species
GAUUAGACUUUGAAGAGAAGAGUAGUGCUCAACAAUCCAGCAAGAGAGCUUCAGGUGGUGGAACGAAGUGUAUUGAAGAGCAUGAAGAUGAGCUCUGAGUUAGUUUGCUUGGUCACAAUGGCCGGGCAGGCCGGUAGCAACCGUUAUCUUGCCGGGUAUUUCCAGUUAGCUGGAGUACCUAUUGAGGUUGCUAUUGUGAAUUAGCAAUAAAUUAAGGGUGGCACCGCGAAAGCUUUCGUCCCUAGA